AGAGUUUGAUCAUGGCUCAGAACGAACGCUGGCGGCGUGCUUAACACAUGCAAGUCGAACGAGAAACCUCGAGCUUGCUCGAGGGAGUAAAGUGGCGCACGGGUGAGUAACACGUGGGUAACCUACCCCCGAAUCUGGGAUAACCUCGCGAAAGCGUUGCUAAUACCGGAUAUUGUCCUAUUGGUUGUGACCUUUGGGAUGAAAGGCAACCUCUUCAUGAAAGUUGUCGUUCAGGGAUGGGCCCGCGUACCAUUAGCUUGUUGGUGGGGUAACGGCCCACCAAGGCUACGAUGGUUAGCUGGUCUGAGAGGAUGAUCAGCCACACUGGAACUGAAACACGGUCCAGACUCCUACGGGAGGCAGCAGUGAGGAAUUUUGCGCAAUGGGGGAAACCCUGACGCAGCAACGCCGCGUGAGUGAAGAAGGCUUUCGGGUCGUAAAGCUCUGUCAAGUGGGAAAAAAGUCUGAUGAUUAAUAGUUGUCAGANUNUGA
rnacentral:rRNA from 1 species